GACGAACGCUGGCGGCGUGCUUAACACAUGCAAGUCGAACGGAAAGGCCCUGCUUUUGUGGGGUGCUCGAGUGGCGAACGGGUGAGUAACACGUGAGUAACCUGCCCUUGACUUUGGGAUAACUUCAGGAAACUGGGGCUCAUACCGGAUAGGAGCUCCUGCUGCAUGGUGGGGGUUGGAAAGUUUCGGCGGUUGGGGAUGGACUCGCGGUUUAUCAGCUUGUUGGUGGGGUAGUGGCUUACCAAGGCUCUGACGGGUAGCCGGCCUGAGAGGGUGACCGGCCACAUUGGGACUGAGAUACGGCCAAGACUCCUACGUGAGGCAGCAGUGGGGAAUAUUGCACAAUGGGCGGAAGCCUGAUGCAGCAACGCCGCGUGCGGGAUGACGGCCUUCGGGUUGUAAACCGCUUUCGCCUGGAACGAAGCGUGAGUGACGGUAAUGUGUAAAGAAGCACCGGCUAACUACGUG
rnacentral:rRNA from 1 species